GGAAAGGAGACACAGAGAAGAAAGGGAGAUGGCUACAGCAAGGGGUUUUGUCCACUUCCUUCAAGGAUUCCUUGGAACCUAGAGAUUCGACCGUGGCGGAGCUGGAGGACAGGGCCUGCGCUGGUAAUGACAAGGUUCCAGGACGUAAGAGCUGAACCGUUCCGAAGCCCCGCCUAUGGACCAGCCAAUCGGAAAGGGCUGUCUUCAGUCCGGGUUGGGCCGGAGCAAGUUUCCGGAGUUUCUUGCCAACCGUUGCCAGCGCAUUCUUAAUUGAUAAUGAAAUGCAAAGCCUAAUGUAAACUCACUACACAGAAGUUGGACACCCGAUUUCAUUAUGAGGCAGAAUUCUGAAACCACAAGCAAUAUUGGGGACAGUGCCAGAACCUGGUCUCAACUUGACUACAGACAGCCUGCAAACUGCCUUCA